rnacentral:rRNA from 1 species
ACCCGCUGAACUUAAGCAUAUCAAUAAGCGGAGGAAAAGAAACCAACAGGGAUUGCCCUAGUAACGGCGAGUGAAGCGGCAACAGCUCAAAUUUGAAAUCUGGCUCUUUCAGAGUCCGAGUUGUAAUUUGCAGAGGGCGCUUUGGCGUUGGCAGCGGUCCAAGUUCCUUGGAACAGGACGUCACAGAGGGUGAGAAUCCCGUACGUGGUCGCUGGCCUUCGCCGUGUAAAGCCCCUUCGACGAGUCGAGUUGUUUGGGAAUGCAGCUCUAAAUGGGAGGUAAAUUUCUUCUAAAGCUAAAUACUGGCCAGAGACCGAUAGCGCACAAGUAGAGUGAUCGAAAGAUGAAAAGCACUUUGGAAAGAGAGUCAAAUAGCACGUGAAAUUGUUGAAAGGGAAGCGCUUGCAGCCAGACUUGCCUGUAGUUGCUCAUCCGGGCUUUUGCCCGGUGCACUCUUCUGCGGGCAGGCCAGCAUCAGUUUGGGCGGUUGGAUAAAGGUCUCUGUCAUGUACCUCUCUUCGGGGAGGCCUUAUAGGGGAGACGUCAUGCAACCAGCCUGGACUGAGGUCCGCGCAUUUUGCUAGGAUGCUGGCGUAAUGGCUGU